rnacentral:rRNA from 1 species
GGCAGUUUGACUGGGGCGGUCGCCUCCUAAAUGGUAACGGAGGCGUACAAAGGUUUCCUCAGAUCGGUCAGAAAUCGAUCGUAGAGUGUAAAGGCAUAAGGAAGCUUGACUGUGAGACCUACAAGUCGAGCGGGGACGAAAGUCGGUCUUAGUGAUCUGACGGUACUGAGUGGAAAGGCCGUCACUCAACGGGUAAAAGUUACUCUAGGGAUAACA